rnacentral:rRNA from 1 species
CCUACGGGAGGCAGCAGUGAGGAAUAUUGGUCAAUGGGCGCGAGCCUGAACCAGCCAAGUCGCGUGAGGGAUGACGGCCCUACGGAUUGUAAACUUCUUUUGCAGGGGAGCAAGCGUGCGUUCGUGAACGCGCGUCGAGAGUACCUGGAGAAAAAGCAUCGGCAAACUCCGUGCCAGCGGCCGGGGUAUUACGGAGGAUGCGAGGGUUAUCGGGAUUUAUUGGGUUAAAGGGGUGCGCGGGCGGGAUGCCAAGUGAGCGGUAAAAAUGCGGUGCUCAACGGCGUCGUGCCGUUGAAACUGGCGUUCUUGAGUGGGCGAGAAGUAGGCGGAAUGCGUGGUGUAGCGGUGAAAUGCAUAGAUAUCACGAAGAACACCGAUUGCGAAGGCAGCAUGCCGGCGCCCAACUGACGCUGAGGCACGAAAGCGUGGGUAUCGAACAGGAUUAGAUACCCUUGUAGUC